GUGAACGCUGGCGGUAGGCCUAACACAUGCAAGUCGAACGGCAGCACAGUAAGAGCUUGCUCUUACGGGUGGCGAGUGGCGGACGGGUGAGGAAUACAUCGGAAUCUACUUUUUCGUGGGGGAUAACGUAGGGAAACUUACGCUAAUACCGCAUACGACCUACGGGUGAAAGCAGGGGAUCUUCGGACCUUGCGCGAUUGAAUGAGCCGAUGUCGGAUUAGCUAGUUGGCGGGGUAAAGGCCCACCAAGGCGACGAUCCGUAGCUGGUCUGAGAGGAUGAUCAGCCACACUGGAACUGAGACACGGUCCAGACUCCUACGGGAGGCAGCAGUGGGGAAUAUUGGACAAUGGGCGCAAGCCUGACCCAGCCAUACCGCGUGGGUGAAGAAGGCCUUCGGGUUGUAAAGCCCUUUUGUUGGGAAAGAAAAGCAGCAGGUUAAUACCCCGCUGUUCUGACGGUACCCAAAGAAUAAGCACCGGCUAACUUCGUG
rnacentral:rRNA from 1 species